CCUUGAGAAACACUUUCUCUGAAUCCUUUGUAAGAGCACCAAGUACCUUUCUAAAAGAUGGAAGAUCCUACUAGAUCUACGAGGUGGAGAAGGUACUCAUAUACUGGCUCAUCUUAAAUAGGUUGUAUAGAUCCUAUGACUCAUUGUUCUUUCGAGAUUUUUCUUUGAGUUCAUCCACCUACUGUUUCUAAGAAAAUAGUAUGAUUGCUCAUAAUCGCAUUGUGAAACAUUGGAA
rnacentral:lncRNA from 1 species